ACUCUCAGUCCUCACUCUACCUACCUCUCUCCGUCUCUCACAAAUUCACUGAUUUGGGAUUUGGAGUUGCCGAUUUGGAGUUGCCACUCCUGUACUUCGAUCUACUCUUCGAUCUCGAUUCCGCCAUAGACUAGGACACCAAGGUUCUAUGAGUUAUAAAGUUGUUGCUGAAUGUGCUACUGUAAUGAAUGAAAUGGUUUCAGAUGAUGAAGGUGAAAUGAUGGGUGCUGCUGAUGUCACUAAUUUGGAAGAAUGAUUAACAUUUAUUUGCAGAACAAUUUAAGUUAUUUCUUUUUUUAUUAUGUAAUUUGAAAGAAUGAAACAUGUUUAAGUUGCUAAACAGAAUCAUAUGCUAAACAGAAUGAAACAUGUUGAAUGACAACCAACAUAGUAUAUUAGUAUUUUUUUUUUUUGCUAAACAGAAUCAUAUGCUAC